GAUGAACGCUGGCGGCGUGCUUAACACAUGCAAGUCGAACGGAAAGGCUCCUGCUUGCAGGGGUACUUGAGUGGCGAACGGGUGAGUAACACGUGGGUGAUCUGCCCUGCACUUCGGGAUAAGCCUGGGAAACUGGGUCUAAUACCGGAUAGGACGAUGGUUUGGAUGCCAUUGUGGAAAGUUUUUCGGUGUGGGAUGAGCUCGCGGCCUAUCAGCUUGUUGGUGGGGUAAUGGCCUACCAAGGCGUCGACGGGUAGCCGGCCAGGGAGGGUGUAGGGCCACAUUGGGGAUGAUCAGCGGCCCGGAGCCCACCGGGGGGCGGGAGGGGGGAAAGUUGAACAAUGGACGAAAGCCUGAUGCAGCGACGCCGCGUGGGGGAGGACGGCCUGCGGGUUGUAACCCGCUUCCGCUGGGGACGAGGGGCAGGGGACGGUACCGGGGAAAGAAGCACCGGCUAACUACGUG
rnacentral:rRNA from 1 species